GGGAAACCUGGACGGAGAGUUUGUUCUUUGGAGACGAGACACGAGAGGCUCAACAGGAGUAAUCCUUCCCCGUACGGAAAACAAUAAUGUCAAAACAAUGCCAUUACUGUGUGAAAGGAGGCCGUCAGCUUCACUCUGCCAGUAAAAGCACUGGCACUUCAUUUCCAGCUGAAGAGAGCUGUUGCAUUUGAAAGAGACGGGAGAAAGCUGGCACUGAGUCAAAAGGAAAAGGUGUGGUGAAUUUAAAUAGAAACCUAGAACAAGAGCAGGGCUGAAGCGACGGAAUCCUUUUGUUUUAAUGCUGCUUGUUUUUUUUCUUCUGGAAACAAGUAUCACUCUGAGCUGUGGGUAAUAAUGUGAUGGAUUAUCUCUGAUGUGAAGACGAUCAUGAUGUAUCCAGGUUUCCAGGUUCCUGUCUACCCCGCCCCCUUCCUCGUCUGCGUGCACCUGAUCCCUGAUUGUGUCUUCCACACCUGCAUCCAAUCACUCCCUAAUCAAGCACUGCUUAUAUUUUCCUCUGUGUCUUGUCUCGUCGCCAGUUCGUUUUUGUACCGCUGCCUGAUCUCUUUGACCUUCCGUGUACCGAACCUCUGCCUGGAAUUAAACUCUGUUACUGAUUCGU